rnacentral:lncRNA from 1 species
GUGAUUUUUAAUUGGGAGCAGCUUACCUAACCAUUUCGAUAGUGUCUAAGGCAAACUUAGCAGACCCUCCCACCGAUCUCAUUUACCUGGCCAAUUUGGUGAACUAGAUUUUGAUUAGAUUAUUAAGUGGUUCGAGUUAGCCCAUGCUAUUAAAGUUGAUCAGUGUGAUUGAUCUAGGUGCCCGUUCAAUCAGCAUGACCUAACCUGAUUCAGUGAUUUGGUGAAGUCAAUGGGAGGAUUAUGAUCUACUGAUUGAUCUUUUCUUCUCUUCUCUCUUCUCUAAAUCAA